GUGGGAGCGAGCUUGCUCGCGAUGAGGUCGUUACAGUCGACAUUGAUGCUGAUUGACCCACCGCAAUCGCGAGCAAGCUCGCUCCCAC
rnacentral:misc_RNA from 1 species